rnacentral:rRNA from 1 species
GACGAACCGUCCAAACGUUAUUCGGAAUUACUGGGCUUAAAGGGUGCGUAGGCGGCGCGGAAAGUUGGGUGUGAAAUCCCUCGGCUCAACCGAGGAACUGCGCUCAAUACUACCGUGCUCGAGGGAGAUAGAGGUGAGCGGAACUUAGGGUGGAGCGGUGAAAUGCGUUGAUAUCGGGAGGAACACCAGUGGCGAAGGCGACUUCCUGGCCUGUUCUUGACGCUGAGGCGCGAAAGCUAGGGUAGCAAACGGG